rnacentral:rRNA from 1 species
UACGUAGGGGGCAAGCGUUGUCCGGAAUUAUUGGGCGUAAAGCGCGCGCAGGCGGUCCUUUAAGUCUGAUGUGAAAGCCCACGGCUCAACCGUGGAAGGUCAUUGGAACCUGGGGGACUUGAGUGCAGAAGAGGAAAGUGGAAUUCCAAGUGUAGCGGUGAAAUGCGUAGAGAUUUGGAGGAACACCAGUGGCGAAGGCGACUUUCUGGUCUGUAACUGACGCUGAGGCGCGAAAGCGUGGGGAGCAAACAGG